GGUAGUAACACGUGGAUAACCUACCUAUAAGACUGGGAUAACUUCGGGAAACCGGAGCUAAUACCGGAUAAUAUAUUGAACCGCAUGGUUCAAUAGUGAAAGACGGUUUUGCUGUCACUUAUAGAUGGAUCCGCGCCGCAUUAGCUAGUUGGUAAGGUAACGGCUUACCAAGGCAACGAUGCGUAGCCGACCUGAGAGGGUGAUCGGCCACACUGGAACUGAGACACGGUCCAG
rnacentral:rRNA from 1 species